UUUUUUUCUUUGUAGGUUAUUGAUAGCGCCUCUGCCAAGAGUUAACUGCUCUUAGUUUCCCCUCUUUCACUCUCACCUAGAAUUAGUGAUUGAAGCCUCAAAUCGAUACCCAUCACAAAGUUCCUUUUUAGGUCGAAGAAUGUUGUCCGUCCUUCACCUUUGAAGUCGUCUUAGGGUUCCUCCCAUCAAUCUUUGGUUUGCCCUACUUUUCUAAUUGUGCAUACAUUUAAUUGAUGUGAUCAAGUUUUGUUUUCUUCUCAUAGUGCAGGAGAAACCCAAAACAAAUCAAGGCCUUCUAGAUUGGGCGUCCUUGUUCUUCAUAUGAUUGAUGGGUAAAUUAUAUAGUUUCUUUCAUGUGAUAUUUGUAUAUUAGUUAUCAAAGUCUAAUAGUUGAAUGUCAACAGGCAAAAGCCCUAAUUCUUAUUUGUUGAGUCUACCCUAAUUUGAUCUAAAAAGCAAAGGUACAUCUCUCUAUAGAUUUCUUGAUCUUUUCUGUUCAUGAUGAAUUUUAGGUAAAUUGAUUUUUAAGAGUUUUAACAGAAACGUAGAUUUUAAAAGAUGAGAAGUAUAAUUAAAGUUUGAGAAGUGUGAUGUUUCCUGACCUUGGAUGCCUAUAUACAGAUCAUGAGUCUAGCUACUUAAUUAUUGAGUGAAGCUUUUAUAGAUUAGAAUUUUGUUUCUUGAAUUUGAUUAAUUAUAUAUAUUAUAUGUGUGCGUCCACUUGAUUUCUCUAUUGAGUUCAUCCAAAUACUAACCCAUGUCUCUAUAUAAGUAGCUCUGUAAGUCUGCAUCUAAUCAAACUUAUUAAUAACUGGUUUGGUGUUUUCCUUUGCAAGAUUGUUUAAAUCAUUUAGUUGGGUACUUUUGCUUUAUUUAGUGAAAUCUCUUGACCCUAUUUUUUUAUCUAUGUUUCCUCCUCUGAUUUGGAUAGUUGUCUAAUGUUUAGGUUUUUCUUUUAUUUUUGCAAGGUUUUAAACUUCUAUUUAUGACAAGCACAUACUCUCGCUUGAGAUAAGGAUUCUAGUUUUUGGAAUGAUGUUGAUUUCUGAAGUUCCACUGUUCCAGUAAUACAAAUCACCAUGGGGAUUGGAGAGAUGAGUUUUGUUACAGCUUUGCCUCUUUUUUUCUUUUUUUUCUUUUUCAAACAUUUACAUCUUUGCUUUGAUUCUCUUGUUGAAGCACAAUUAUAGAUUGAUAAGUCCAUAUAAAUAUCAUUAUAAAAUAACUUGGUAGAUCGUAAGAGUGCAUAUAAAUUACAGUAAGUGAAUGAAAAUGGGAGGUCUGGAAUUUUGUUUACAGUAAGUGAGGCACUAUUUUUUUUCAUGACCAUGCUAAUUAAAUCUAAUUGUAUAUGUGCAGGGUUUCAAUCGAGAUUACAUACCAGACCUUACAUCCCCAUAUGAGUAUUUUUAAUACUAACAUUUGUAUAUGACAUUAGAAUAUUUUUUGUAUAAACAGUUAGAUCAUAUAUGAUGUUUACCUA